rnacentral:rRNA from 1 species
GCCCAGUAGCGGGCGAGUGAAGCGGCAAGAGCUCAGAUUUGAAAUCGUGUUUCGGCACGAGUUGUAGAGUGUAGGCGGGAGUCUCUGUGGAGCGCGGUGUCCAAGUCCCUUGGAACAGGGUGCCUGAGAGGGUGAGAGCCCCGUAGGGUGCUGCGCGAAGCUUUUGAGGCCCUGCUGACGAGUCGAGUUGUUUGGGAAUGCAGCUCCAAGCGGGUGGUAAAUUCCAUCUAAGGCUAAAUAUUGGCGAGAGACCGAUAGCGAACAAGUACUGUGAAGGAAAGAUGAAAAGCACUUUGAAAAGAGAGUGAAACAGCACGUGAAAUUGUUGAAAGGGAAGGGUAUUGGGCUCGACAUGGGGGGUGCGCACCGCUGUCUCUUGUAGGCGGCGCUCUGGGCGCCCUCUGGGCCAGCAUCGGUUCCUGCUGCGGGAGAAGGGGCUCCGGAAAGUGGCUCUUCGGAGUGUUAUAGCCGGGGCCAGAUGCCGCGUGUGGGGACCGAGGACUGCGGCUUCUGUCUCGGAUGCUGGCAUAACGGCGCAAUACCGCCCGUCUU